rnacentral:rRNA from 24 species
UUGACCUCAAAUCAGGUAGGACUACCCGCUGAACUUAAGCAUA